UGAGGGCGGCUUCCCGGGUGCCCCUCCCGGCGCCAAUCCCCCGCCGGCCGGAGGAGGCGCUCCCCCGGCGCCCGCUGCCGGUGUUAGGCGGGCCGGGCCCUGUAGGCGAACCCGGGGCCCCGCCGGCGUCGCCCCUUCGCCUGCGGAGGGAUGCGCUCGGAGGCGGCGCCGCAGCCCGGCGGCCUGGAGAGGUUCGCCAGUCCCGGCAAGGGCCGGGGCCUGCGGGCUCUGAGGCGCUACGCCGUGGGAGAGCUGCUCUUCAGCUGCCCGGCCUACACCGCCGUGCUGACCGUCAGCGAGCGCGGCGGCCACUGCGACGGCUGCUUCGCCAGGAAAGAAGGACUGUCCAAGUGUGGAAGAUGUAAGCAGGCCUUUUACUGCAAUGUGGAAUGUCAGAAGGAAGACUGGCCAAUGCAUAAGCUGGAAUGUUCCGCCAUGUGUGCUUUUGGGCAGAACUGGAAUCCCUCGGAGACGGUGAGGCUAACAGCGAGGAUCCUUGCCAAACAGAAAAUUCACCCUGAAAGAACACAGUCAGAGAAGCUGCUUGCUGUGAAAGAAUUUGAAUCGCACCUUGACAAACUAGACAAUGAAAAGAGAGAGCUGAUUCAGAACGACAUUGCUGCUCUUCAUCACUUUUAUUCAAAGCACAUGGAGUACCCUGACAAUGCUGCUCUUGUAGUUCUCUUUGCACAAGUUAACUGCAAUGGUUUCACGAUUGAAGAUGAAGAACUCUCUCAUUUGGGAUCAGCCAUAUUUCCUGAUGUUGCACUGAUGAACCAUAGCUGUUGCCCAAAUGUGAUCGUAACUUACAAAGGGACACUGGCAGAAGUCAGAGCUGUGAAAGAGAUUGAGCCUGGAGAAGAGGUUUUUACCAGCUAUAUUGACCUGUUGUAUCCCACAGAAGACAGAAAUGACAGGUUAAGAGACUCCUAUUUCUUCACUUGUGAUUGCAGGGAGUGCACUAUGAAGGAAAAGGAUAAAGAGAAACUGAAAAUCCGCAAGCUGAAUGAUCCUCCAUCAGCAGAGGCGGUACGAGACAUGAUCAAAUAUGCCAGGAACGUGAUAGAGGAAUUCAGACGAGCCAAACACUACAAAUCUCCCAGUGAAUUACUGGAGAUCUGUGAGCUCAGCCUGGAUAAGAUGGGUGCAGUGUUUGAAGACAGUAACGUCUACAUGUUACAUAUGAUGUACCAGGCCAUGGGUGUCUGUCUGUACGUGCAGGACUGGGAAGGUGCGCUGCGUUAUGGACAAAAAAUUAUCAGACCAUACAGUAAGCAUUAUCCUUCCUACUCACUGAACGUUGCCUCCAUGUGGCUGAAAUUAGGGAGACUGUACAUGGCACUGGAGAACAGACCAGCUGGAGAUAAAGCUCUGAAGAAGGCAAUUGCCAUCAUGGAAGUAGCACACGGGAAAGAUCAUCCAUACAUUUCAGAGAUCAAAAAGGAAUUAGAGGACCACUGAGCCUUUGAAUCUAUGCAAUCCUUCAAACCUUUAUUUAAAAAGCCUUGUUAUGGAAACCUUCAGGAGCGCUUUGAAAAGCGUGACUUAGCUGAGAGAAAGGAGAAAAAGGGCCGAUGUAUUCUGUGCGUCGUAUAGGAAAGCCACCACCUUUCCCUCAGCAGUUCAGCUGCAGGUCCAUCACUGCUCCUAGCAGCAUCAAAUACCAGCCUGCCUUGGAAGAAUUUUAUAGGAAGCCUUCCUCACUCUUGCCUGUCUGAUCAGGGACUGCUUCCACUGAAGUGUCUUAGUACAGAGACUCAAUCCAAAACACUGACUGUCUUUAAGUAGAUGAUCUAGAAGAAGAAAAACAAAACUAUUAAGCACUAAUACUUGAGCAGAUGCCUGAAAUGAACAUAGGUUGUUUGAUUUUUGGGGUUUUUUUCACUGUUAAAGAGUACUGGGAUUCUCCAAUGAGAGCUGUUCUUCUACCCAUUACUUCCAGGCCACCCUCCAAAGGCAAAGUCCCACUGCUGCAGCAGGGAAACUCUCAGUUAAGGUGUGCGCAGAUCAAAAGUAUCAGUACUUCAACAAUGAGGAAAACACCAGCUGAAAAAUGGCUGAGAGGAACUAAGUGAAUUUCACUGGUUUUAGAAUAUCUUACACUAAAAAUCUAUUUACUUUUAAAUAUUUAUAUAAACACUGCUAUUUUUAAGCUGCACAGUAUUGUUUUGUUCCACAAUCUAACAGGAAUUUAUCUGUGGCUAAGAACUCAGCCUUCUCUUGUUGGCCCAAGAGCCCAAACAACCAACUGUUCUCUUCCUCAAAUCACAGUCCUUGCAAGUCAAGGCUGCACGUGGCUGCAUGCGUGAUGUCCUCCUCUCUUCUCUCACAAGGCAAGAGCUUCCUCAGUUCUGUAAGGAAAACCUUUAUAGAAGGCUAAGAAUGAGCUGGGGACAGUUGCCUUCAGGAUUUUGGCCCUGUAGCCCUUCUUUUGUUGACAUCAAACUCCAUACUGCACAACUGAACCAUACAUACAGCAGCAGAAUUGUGUACAUUUUUAUGGAGUACUUUUAUGGAGAUUAGGUUUUCAUGCAGUGUUUUACCUUGCAAGAUCAGUUAUGAAUAUUUGCUUCUUCAGUACGAUACACCCUUUAUUUCAUGAAAUGUGUGCCACCCUUGAGUUCCACAUGUAUUCUUUUCCCUAAAAACAGCAGCAAAAUUUAACCUCUCAGUGAGGUAUGAAAGCUGCUACAGCAGCGGGGAUCAGCCAUACUGAUACUUCUACUUUUUGAGUGCACAGCUCCUAGACUGUUAGCAAGACUGACAACAACUAAUUCAGUCUUCAUGUCAUCCCAGAAAACUGCUGGGAAGUUGGCUGCUGUGAGCCAACUGUUAGAAACUGUAUGGUUUCUAACUGCUGAAUUGCCUGCUACCCACAGGUGAAUCUCCUUUCACUCGAAACACUAGUUUAAGGAAAAACUACUUCCAGUAAGGCUGAGCAUUUGGGGUCCCUAUACACCUAUUAAUAGAAGGUUUGUGGGAUCAAGCUCUGUCUUACCUCAACUGGCCGAGGAUAAGAGGUGCCAAGGCAGGCCUGGGCAGCAGCUGGAACAAGUGGGACCUGAGCAGCUGACGUGCAGCUCCACUGUUCUCCAGCGCAGCCCAUGGAGGACAGAAACUGGAUGUCAGCAGCACUGGGCAGACUGCUGGUGAGCGACUCAACUGAGAUCUCCCAUCCUCAACUCAGACAACGUUAAGCAUGAAAUGCUCUGACCAUAACAUUAAGCGAAAAUUUGAUGCCAUCAACCUCAAUGCAAACAUUGGGAUGAGUUUAAAGAAAAAGAAGCUGUUAAAUAUUGUGAAAGAAAAUAUAGAUUAAAAGUGCAUAAAAAGGAGAAGACACAGAAUGAAUUCCCAACUAAGGCUCAUCCACUCUGAGCUUUCUCCUAGAAAAUAAUCUGAGGAGCAUAGCCUAAAUGUGCCAGACUGCAACAUGGGAACCUUGGAGAAGACUGUUGGUUUCCAAUGUUUUAAGGUAUGAUUCCGUUUUCUUUAAAUUGAUGUUUUGUUUUUUUUUUUUAAAUAAGAUUUUCAAUCCAAACUUCAUUCAAAAUGGAUGAAACUGUUCUACUGUAACCUACUCACUGUCACAUUUUGGGUUAAAAAGUACAUGAUGCUGCAACCCAAAAUUGUCCUCCCCUUGUAGUAAAGAAUUCUGCUGUUAUGUCUGUGGGCCAGAAACUGAACAGAACUGCUUUAAGUCUGAUGGUUUCACUCCUACAAUGACUAAUGAAACUGGAUACAAUACGCAUUUUCCUGUCACUCCCUAAAGUGUUAGGAAGUAUUGCCCAAGUGGUUUAGGACUGAUAAAGCUACAACAAGUUAAAGUCAGGAGGUUCAGUUUUUCCCCUACAACAGUGUAACCCAUUUCAGUAAUAAAUCAUUGAUGUGCUGAGAUUCAUUUGCAAGCUGGGGUAGAAAAGAACCUCUAAUGACACACACUGCCCCAGUUCACUUAUGAUAUUAGCAAGCAGAUCAAGUCAAGAUAAAAUAUGUCAGGAAAAAAUAGACAAGUCAGAUGAAAGGGAAAAUUUAAAAUUACCGUUCUUUGACAAUGAAAGGGAAAAAAUGAGUCACGUUGGCUUCUAUCUACCACACCAGCCGUCUUAGGAAUUAAUUGGAAAUGACUGUUUACUAUGUGGCCAUUUAUUUGGCUCAUUAAUGAGUACUGACUUAAUUUGGAAAGGAUUUUUGGUGCCAUUUCAUAAUUAAUAUUUUUCUAAGACACUUAUAAUGUGACGCUUGCUUAAUUUUCCUUUUAAACACAGCUAUUUACAUUCUCUUAUGAAGUAACUUUUUUGUACUGACUGUAGAAACAGUAGGAUGCAUUUCAGCCAAGAAUAACUGAGUAAUAAGACACAGGGGCAGAUUAUUUUUCCUCCUGAUUUUCUACUUCUCAAAUUCCAAGUGGAGCAAUGGGACUUGACAGCUCUGAGUUCAAACUUAAUUCAUCAUUAGGAAAUUAUUCAAAAAGCUAAAAUGAGAUAACUAAUUUAAUACACUUUGCUUCAAGGUUUAUUCUUUGGCUUGUUUCCCAGAUGUAAAGCAUCUCUGUGCAAUUAUCAUGCAGAUGCUGCUGAAAAGACUUUAAAAUGGUUGCUGCUAAUGUAACAGGAGACACGUUGGCAGUGGCAGAAGGAAUUAGAGAAAACUGAAGUUGACUGAAAACUCAACUGAUCCCUAAAAGGAACAUGGUUAAGAUAUUACAGCUAAAGAAGUCACGGCCAUUUGUUGGUUGCUGAAAAUCUCUACUAGAAUUCCUGUCACAUUGUUACACCCAUAUGGCAUAGCAGCAAAAAAAGCAGAGUUUUACAUGCAUUUCAGAAGGACUCUGGUACAGAGCCUUAGAUUAAGCCCUCGCAGCAUUUAGGGAAAAGCAGGAGUGUAGGUCCCAUUAGUGAUCCUGAACUCAGAGUACUUGGCUUAGGCCUUUAUACAUUGACUUAAAGCUAGUUAUGGCUUGGCCAUAUGCAUUUAAAACAAGAACAGCAGAACAACUGGUUUUCUUUGUUGCCACAUAGUAGUAGGGAAGUUUCAGAAAAGCAGCAGUGUGAGAUGCUCUCAGAUGAGUGCAGUAAUUGUGACUCUCCAAAACACUGCGGUCUUUUUUGGAUUGCAGUCUGUUCUGGGAUGCACCUGAAUCAUUUGGGAGCUGGGAAUUUACGUCCCAUGGCCUUUAACAAUGUCAACCUGACCUGUUCCAUCUGCUGCUGCUGAAACUGUUGUUAGCAGAAAGGCAAACAACUGCAUUUCACAUAAUGCCACAUAGCAGCUGUAUCCUCAGAAGAAAUGAAGACACACGUCAUUUAGGAAAGAAAAACAGUAGGAAAUAGGGGGAAAAAAAAAAAAAAAAAACAGGGCACCAGCUUGUGCUGGGGAUGCAAAACUGCAGACAGAGGGAGGACAAAGUGAGCAUGAAAGGAACGUGGAUUCUGGAAAGGGAGGAGAGUGACCUUGGAGUAGGGGUGGAAAUGAGAUAAGGAUGGGG